CAAAUCACGCUUGACGAUUCUGACAUCUCCGAGAACGAUAAAAGGUAGAGCUUUCUUCAGCAAUGGUCAACACAAGAUCUUCCACAACAGCGACGCACGGCGGAAAAGUUUAUCAAAUGAUGACUGCGAAGAAGAAGGCACCGGCAGUACCCAAAGCAAAUAAAGGGAAUUUGGAGACAACGACAAAAGGGAAGGAACCAGUAGCAAGCACAAUCCAU